GUUGGUGAACCAGCGGAAGGAUCAUUACAGAGAUCAUGCCCUCGCGGGUAGACCUCCCACCCUGUGUAAAUUACUCUUGUUGCUUCGGCAGGCCGCCUUCGGGCCCUCGGCUUCGGCUGGGGAGCGCUUGCCAGAGGACCGUAACUCUCGUGUUUAUUUGUCGUCUGAGUACUAUAUAAUAAGUUAAAACUUUCAACAACGGAUCUCUUGGUUCUGGCAUCGAUGAAGAACGCAGCAUCUGACUGACUAC
rnacentral:misc_RNA from 1 species